AUCUAUUCUUGUAGAUUUUUUUUGUGUGGGUCUAUGUUUCAUUCAUCUGCUUUCAGGCUGGAUUUAUAACAAGCAGAACUUUUAAAACGGUAUGAUUUUAAAAUAAAAUUAAAAAAAAAACACGCUGAGAUCUUUCCAUAGCUUUGGCUUCUGGGAGUUGAAAGCGCAGCUUCAGGAAAAAGAGGACCUUAGAACUGAAGGAGCAAGAUUCCAACAUCACACUGUUUUUGUUAGCUGUGUGUGUGUGUUUCCUGUGUAUCCAAAAGACAGAGGAGAUGAAAAAGCAAAAGAAAAGAAACGAGGAAUCAGAUUGGAAAGAGUAUGAGUUUGUACUUAUGAAAUAAAACUUUUAUCUCUCUACACAGGACCGGGAGUCUGUCCCAAUUUCCUGUCUCUAACCUCACUGGAAGUGCUGACCCACUUCUGGCUAUUUUUAUGUGUUUCUUUGAAAAUGCUUACUGUGAUUGGAGUUGACUUGCCGACUCUGUUCUGCAGCCUCCCCACCACCUGAGUCCCAAAGGGCGGCCCUUCCCACCUCACGCCCAGUAAUUAUGGGUGAGCGCAGAGCCAAAGGAUGGCAGGGCUUUGUUGGUGGUGCGACCAGCGGGUGACCCCUUUCCUCGCAAUCAGAGACUCAGGGACAAGCAGCUUGCACCUGCACGUGGAGCUUUGCACACGGCCUUUUGCCUGAUUUUCCUCUUCGAGGCAUGCCCCCUCCAUGAAAGAUGGGCAUCUUCCCAUGUUCCGGAAUUCUUGGGGGUGCGCUGAUUCCAGGCUCUCGCCCCAGCUUUGGGCCCAGGGCAGUGAGCAUGUGUAGUUACUUAUCUAGGAUUGCAACCUGAGUCAACAGUGAAACCAGGAAGUGAACUCGGGGUCCGGCAUUGUAUGGAAAGUUGGGUGUAUUUACUUUUCUCUUAAAGCAAACUUUGAUUGACUCUUUAAUAAGUUACCAUGGAGGAUAUAGUUCUGGUGAGAUUUGACUUGGCAUCCAAAUCUAAGGCACAUAUUGAUAAUGGAGGAGAGGAACAGGGAGUCUUUUAUGUUUUUCCAGUUUUAUCAUUAACCCCAAGUUCAGAAAUCUGUUUGCUUUUAAAAGUGUCAGUUUCCUCGUUUAGGAAGGUGACAGUUCUCUACUGAUGAUGAGGUUUUUUUUGUUUUUUUUUUGAGAUGGAGUCUCGUUCUGUCACCCAGGCUGGAGUGUAAUGGCACGAUCUUGGCUCACUGCAACCUCUGCCUCCCGGGUUCAAGCGAUUCUCCUGCCUCAGCCUCCCGAGUAGCUGGGAUUACAGGCAUCCACCACCAUGCCUGGCUAAUUUUUUGUAUUUUUAGUAGAGAUGGGGUUUUGCCAUGUUGGCCAGGCUGGCCUUGAACUCCUGACCUCAGGUGAUCCGCCUGCUUCGGCCUCCCAAAGUGUCGGGAUUACAGAUGUGAGCCACCGCGUCCAGCCUGUUGAGGUAUUUUGAUGUCCUUUGUGGAAAGGCCUUAUCACCUGGCUGGCACACAGCACUGUGGGAACCUCUGGUGGGGCUGUGUGAGGAAUUAGGGUGACCUUGACUUCAGCCAGGCCAUGUGGGUCUUGACUCUGUCACUUACGGUGUCACCUGGGGAAUCCCUUCCCUUCUUUGGCCUCAGUGUCCUCCUCUGGGAAGUGAGGGUAAAAAGUCUCUCCCUUGUAAGGUUGUUAGAGGGCUCGGCAAGGAGAUGGAUGUGGAGGGGCCUGGGGUGUGGAACAUAGCAUACACUUGGUGGGGCAAGCUAUCAGGGUUAUUUAUUACUUAAAUCAUUUUAAUUGUGGGUCAUAAAAUUUCUGUUUUUCCAGAGGUUUCUCCAGGACGUCACCUGUAUGAGGUACACAGUGUGAUGACACACUCUGUGCUUUUCCUACUUGUGUCCACGUGAGUGUCUGGAGCUGCCCUUCAAGGAGAGCAAUAGAUGAAUGAUUCUGCCUUCCCGCUGAGAGGGAUGUGGGUCCUGCGGAUGGUCGGGGUGAAGCUUCCUCUCCUUUCUGCUGACAGCACUUCCUCAUUAAAUGCAGAGAUCUGCAAAAAGGGAAAAUAAAAACACAAGAAGAAAAAUGAGGCAUCAAAGACCCUCCUCUUAUGCCCAUGGGGAUUUGGAGGACGGGUUAUUUCUUUGCUUUCCCAAAGGGCCCAAGAAGAGCUUCCGGGGAGAGGGAGAGCACCCUUUUUGAGGAUUCCCGACAAGCCUGUCUCCCGAGGGCUCCUGUAGGAGAGGCGGUAACUAGGGCGCAGAUCAUUUUCUGUGUUAAGGGCAUCCAAGGAGAGAAGAGAGUGACCGCCUAUGACUUGGGAGGCCCGUAAAGAUGGGGUCCUGGAUGAGCAGUAGCAAGGAGGGUACGGGGAUGGGUGUGCCUUGGGGGCUGGCAGUGAGGACGGCAUCGUCCCUAGAGAGUUUAAAGACAAGAAUCAAUCCAGCUCCAAGUGAGACUGCUUUUAAACCAUUUUAAUUGCCACACACCAGUAAGUUCAAGCAAUAUCAGUGAUAAAAUCUCCUUCCGUUGGGCAGCCAGUCCUUCUGCACCCUCCUGGUGUGUCCUGAGUAAGUGGGGUAGGGAGGAGCUAGUGUGGCCCGAAGACAAAGGAACCCGAGAUAUUUCUUUCCUCUUCCAAGCAAGAGAGGCUGGAGACAGCACAUGAGUGUUCAGGGAUCCUUGGGGGUCAAAAGAGUCACCUGAGAGAAAGGAAGAGAGGGGAACUGCCGCAGCUCAGUGAGGGGAACACCGCAGGCUCUGCCUCUCUUCCCCGGCUGUCUGGGAGGAGGGUCUGGAGUGGAGUCCAUGAGGGGCUGGGCGGGGCUGGGGCCCUACUUUGGAGGGAAUAUGGUAAGCAGACUGUACAGCCAAGCAGACAGUCCUGGAGGUUGAGGGCGUGACAAAGAACUGUAGCAUAUUCUGUGUGUAAAGACACCUUUGCCUUCUGUCCUGACCCGCAGACAGGUGCUUCUCCUGCCCUGCCGUGCUUCUGCCAUUUCUGGUGGAAAUAGCUCAAAAGACCCCUGCUUAUCCACAGAGCAGGGGCAUUUACCCAUUACAACCCCCUGGUGAAGUGACACGGUUAUGCCCAUUUCACAGACGAGGAAAUUGAGGCCCAGAAAGGGGCAGGAAACUUCCACAGCUGGGAAGCGGUGGAUCUGGGACUUGUUUGCCCCAGAGGCUGCCACCCUGGCACCUCACUGCCCUCAAAGGCUGACGGUGCCCCCAGCAGCUGUAACCAUUUCUUUCGAGUGCUUUUCAUUGUGUGGAAGAUCAUUUUGGGGGGUGCACAGAGCUCCCAGCUUAUUGUGAUUCAGCAAGACCCUGGCGUGUCACUUACGGGAGGUGGCCUUGCUGGGCAUAGUGCCGGCCAGCCAGAGACCCUCAGUGAACAGGGGGCGUUUCCAGAGGGCCUGGUGUUUUCUGCAUGGCAAGACUCCUACAGAGAGGCUGACCUGGUUUUCAGAGAGCAGUUUGCGUUUCGGGUGGCCCUGGGGGCACAUGUUCCCAUUGGAUUCCUGCACUGGAAGUAAGCUUGUGGGGCCGGGCUGCCAGCAGUGCCUGCCUUGUACCAGGGCUUUUUUGGUAUGGAAAACUUUAGAGAGGCGUCACCACCACCUCUUUUUUGCUCAGCAUUUGCUCAUCUCUCCCCACCUGCUUUUCAGGGCUCAAGCCUGGAAGAAGCCUUAGGACGUGGGGGAAAUGUCUAACGUGGAGUCCACCUGCUGAGCAGGACCGGGUGUGAAGGAAGAAGCUUUGUUCUGAUUCCUCAUGGCCCAGCCACCCCUCGCCUGAGCUGAGCCUGGCCACAGGGCCCGCCUGCAGGAAGGGCUGGCCCAUGGCUUCACACUGGGCUCAGGCUGCGCUAAGAGCCCCGGGUGAGGACCUCCAAGCCCAGGAAGCCUCAGUUGGCCAAAGUGCUAGAUGCGUGUGGUCUGCUUUCAUCCCCGCUUCCCUCAGAGCUUGCAUUUUCCAAAUUCAAGAGAGGCUCCACCUUCAAGAAGACCGGCCUGUCCCUGUUAUUUAUGUGUCCCCCUACCAUAUCUCCCUUUGUUCUGCAGAGCGGUACGCAUAAAAAGCUUUUGGGGA
rnacentral:lncRNA from 1 species